AGAGUUUGAUCCUGGCUCAGAGCGAACGCUGGCGGCGUGCUUAACACAUGCAAGUCGAGUGCGCGGUGCCGUAGCAAUACGGUACUGGCGCACGGCGCACGGGUGCGUAACACGUGGGUAAUCUGCCCUCUGAUGGGGAAUAACCCGCCGAAAGGCGGGCUAAUACCGCAUAACAUUCCUUGGACUCCGGUUCGAGGAUUCAAAGGCGUAAGUCGUCGGAGGUGGAGCCCGCGCACGAUUAGCUAGUUGGUGAGGUAAUGGCUCACCAAGGCUUUGAUCGUUAGCUGGUCUGAGAGGAUGGCCAGCCACACUGGAACUGAGACACGGUCCAGACUCCUACGGGAGGCAGCAGUGGGGAAUCUUGCACAAUGGGCGAAAGCCUGAUGCAGCGACGCCGCGUGGGGGAUGAAGCUUCUCGGAGUGUAAACCCCUUUCGACCGGGACGAAUACCUCGCAAGAGGGGUGACGGUACCGGUAUAAGAAGCCCCGGCUAACUACGUGCCAGCAGCCGCGGUAAGACGUGGGGGGCCAGCGUUGCUCGGAAUUACUGGGUGUAAAGGGUUCGUAGGCGGUGUGGCAAGUCGGGAGUGAAAUCUCUGGGCUUAACCCAGGGGCUGCUUCCGAAACUGCCGUGCUAGAGUGUGGGAGAGGCGCGUGGAAUUGCAGGUGUAGCGGUGAAAUGCGUAGAUAUCUGCAGGAACACCCGUGGCGAAAGCGGCGCGCUGGACCACUACUGACGCUGAGGAACGAAAGCUAGGGGAGCAACAGGAUUAGAUACCCUGGUAGUCCUAGCCCUAAACGAUCAGGACUUGGGGUGCCACCCGUUCGGGUGUCGUCCCGGAGCUAACGCGUUAAGUCCUGCACCUGGGGGAGUACGGUCGCAAGACUGAAACUCAAAGGGAAUUGACGG
rnacentral:rRNA from 1 species